UCCCAGGAGGAACCGGAGGAACAAGUCCAGGUGUCCAUUUGGACUCUGCAAGGCCUGAUCAACAGCUGUCUGGUGAAGAGACUUUGGUUUAGGUUUCUUAGAAAAUAAAGACUUCUUAGAUGUUUGUGUUUCUUCCAUCAGGUUGACACCAUAUUUAAUGAAGGCCCGAUGAACAUGAAGAGCAGCCAGAAACUCCUGAACACUCAGAUGGACGAAGCAGAACACCUUGUCCUGAUGUCCUGAAGGUUCCUCAUCAGUGAUGCAGAAAACUUCAUGUCUACAGAGUGUUGAUCAGUCAGAGAAAUGAUUGAAGUGAAACAGAUCUUACCAUCAUGAUGCUGACCAACAGCUCACCAAUCAUCCCUCCUGAUGGAGACCAGCACCAUCUAUCUCCACCUCUGAGAACCUGCUGAUGUCUCCUGAGCCUCCACAAUCAUUACAGCAUCUAAAUGACUUUAACAAACUGAAUU